GACGAGCGCUGGCGGCGUGCCUAAUACAUGCAAGUUGAGCGCUGAAGGUUGGUACUUGUACCGACUGGAUGAGCAGCGAACGGGUGAGUAACGCGUGGGGAAUCUGCCUUUGAGCGGGGGACAACAUUUGGAAACGAAUGCUAAUACCGCAUAAAAACUUUAAACACAAGUUUUAAGUUUGAAAGAUGCAAUUGCAUCACUCAAAGAUGAUCCCGCGUUGUAUUAGCUAGUUGGUGAGGUAAAGGCUUACCAAGGCGAUGAUACAUAGCCGACCUGAGAGGGUGAUCGGCCAAAUUGGGACUGAGAAACGGCCCAAAAUCCUACGGGAGGCAGCAGUAGGGGAUCUUCGGCAAUGGACGAAAGUCUGGCCGAGCAAAGCCGCGUGAGUGAAGAAGGUUUUCGGAUCGUAAAACUCUGUUGGUAGAGAAGAACGUUGGUGAGAGUGGAAAGCUCAUCAAGUGACGGUAACUAACCAGAAAGGGACGGCUAACUACGUG
rnacentral:rRNA from 1 species